UGCAAGUCAUGACUUUACAUUGCUGUUUGC
rnacentral:piRNA from 1 species